UCCCCCCCACCCCCCGCGGCGGCGGCGGCAGCAGAGGCAGCGGAGGCGAGAGCAGGUGCUGGAGCUGGAGCCCAGCGAGAACCAGUGGCAGGACCUUGUUCCCCGAAGCAGGGCCCCGCCUCCCAGCCCUGCCCGGCCAGCGCCCAGCCUUGCGUGCCGCCUGCUGAGUCCAUCCGCUUCACGCUGCCCCCUCCGCCAGCCGCGCCGCCCUUCCUGGGGGCGAUUAGGUGCUUUUUGCUGUUUUUUUAAUUUGGGCCGCCGGAGGGGGAGGAGGGGCAGGUGCUGCAGGCCCCACCCCCCUCCCCGCCUCCGGCCAGCCUUGGCAGCGUGACUCCACCCUGUCUCUGGGCACCGCGUGCUGCGUGGUUGGAGCGAUCGUACAGCGGAGGCUGCGCCCAGAGAGGAGCGCAGUUCUCCACCCCACCAGGCGGCAGCGGCUAGGACGACUCUGAGAGCCGGGCAGCACAGAUCUGAGUCGAGUCUGAGACCUACACCACAGCUCACAGCAACACGGGAUCCUUAACCCACUGAGCUAGGCCAGGGAUCGAACUUGCGUCCUCAUGCAUACGAGUCAGAUUCAUUUCCACUGAGCCACGACAGGAACUCCCUAAAUAUAUUUGUUAAUAAACCAAUGGUUCUCCAGACUUUUCAGCAUACUGAGUGCUAAAGCAAACAAGAGAUUCUUCUCAAAAUAUGUUGGUGGCUUGAGAGAUGUCAUGACCAAGUGGUGAUCUAUACAGAAGGAACAUGAAGCAUGAGGGAGGCUUUUAGCUUGAAUUGGAAGACAUCCUUCUAGAAUGUUAGCAAUCAGUGAAAAAGUACAGGUCUUCUAGGCACACCCACUCCAUGUAUGAAGAAGAAAUGUGAACAGAAGAAGCACAUUCAGCUCAUUGCUGGCUUGCAUGUAUUUUCUAAGAUUUGUUUAAACGCCUCUACUCUCAAGUUUUAUAUUUGUUGUAUUUUGAUGUAAAAUUCAUAAAUUUUUUUUUUUUUUU